AAUCCAUAGGUUAAUGAGGCGAACCGGGGGAACUGAAACAUCUAAGUACCCCGAGGAAAAGAAAUCAACCGAGAUUCCCCCAGUAGCGGCGAGCGAACGGGGAGGAGCCCAGAGCCUGAAUCAGCAUGUGUGUUAGUGGAAGCGUCUGGAAAGGCGCGCGAUACAGGGUGACAGCCCCGUACACAAAAGCGCAUGUGUUGUGAGCUCGAUGAGUAGGGCGGGACACGUGGUAUCCUGUCUGAAUAUGGGGGGACCAUCCUCCAAGGCUAAAUACUCCUGACUGACCGAUAGUGAACCAGUACCGUGAGGGAAAGGCGAAAAGAACCCCGGCGAGGGGAGUGAAAAAGAACCUGAAACCGUGUACGUACAAGCAGUGGGAGCACCCUUUUGGGUGUGACUGCGUACCUUUUGUAUAAUGGGUCAGCGACUUAUAUUCUGUAGCAAGGUUAACCGAAUAGGGGAGCCGGAGGGAAACCGAGUCUUAAUUGGGCGUUAAGUUGCAGGGUAUAGACCCGAAACCCGGUGAUCUAGCCAUGGGCAGGUUGAAGGUUGGGUAACACUAACUGGAGGACCGAACCGACUAAUGUUGAAAAAUUAGCGGAUGACCUGUGGCUGGGGGUGAAAGGCCAAUCAAACCGGGAGAUAGCUGGUUCUCCCCGAAAGCUAUUUAGGUAGCGCCUCGUGAAUUCAUCUCCGGGGGUAGAGCACUGUUUCGGCUAGGGGGCCAUCCCGGCUUACCAACCCGAUGCAAACUGCGAAUACCGGAGAAUGUUAUCACGGGAGACACACGGCGGGUGCUAACGUCCGUCGUGAAGAGGGAAACAACCCAGACCGCCAGCUAAGGUCCCAAAGUCAUGGUUAAGUGGGAAACGAUGUGGGAAGGCCCAGACAGCCAGGAUGUUGGCUUAGAAGCAGCCAUCAUUUAAAGAAAGCGUAAUAGCUCACUGGUCGAGUCGGCCUGCGCGGAAGAUGUAACGGGGCUAAACCAU
rnacentral:rRNA from 1 species